ACAAACCUCAGUACAAAGCUGUACUUUUCCUUGGAAAGUUAACUGCAACAAUCUUGACGACAAGGAUAAAAAAGAAAACCCAGAUGUACUGGCAUCUCUCCAGAAGCCUGAACAAACACAGGGUAGAAAGUAAGCGAGGACGAUGCGGCGAAGCGGCAGAGGGAGAAGUCGGGCUCAGAGUCUAUUUCACAUCACACUGCUGUCAGAGCAAAAGCCUAAUGGAACAUCCCCACUCUGGACUGGAAGGGUCUGAGCAGAUCUGACAGCCUGGAAGAGCUGCACCUUGUCUGCAAACUCAAACACACUCCCUAGCUUGUCUCCCGUUUUACUGCAUACACAGGUAAAAACGAAAACCCAGCUGGACUGCGAGCGUCGGUGCUUAACGUUUUCCUACUGACACUUUGGAGUCGUAAUCCGUGUAAUGACUGGCGAAGGUUUGGACCGAGUUAAUAGAGCCGAGAUGCAACCAGAUGGCAGAAAGAAAUGAGAUGUAAAAACAUCACAGCAGGUUUGGAAGUCAGCUCUGCUACCAAGUAAACCACUGGUAUGGAUGACAAAGCAACAAACCCCUUGCAGUGCUUCCAGCUCUCUUCGUUCCCCCUCAUCUAUUUUUUCAUGUUUUGUCAUGUAAAAACUGGAAACUUGGA